CAUGGUUACUAAACCAACGUGAUCGAGAUGCAUUCUGCACAACCGCCAAUAGGUGGCAGAUAUCGCUAGUAUAACAGUUGAGAUUGAUUUUCAUUGCGUCUUUUCUUAAUGAGGCGUGUCUGAGGAAGCACCGUAACCGAGCUGAAGAACCACCCGGAUUAAGAAGUGUACACAUGUAGUGACCUGAGGAGCCAUUUCAUCGAGGAUGCCUCGUGUGAGCUCAGGUCAACAUAGCAUGGACUGGGAUUGAAGCAGCUGUGGCAUCGGCCCUGAGGACAUCGGACGACAAUUUCACUCCACACGUGAUUCAGAUAAGACAACCCCCCCCAAUUUGUUUAUUUUAAGAGCUGAACAUUUUAUUUUGUUGUACAUAGUGUUAAUGUUGCCAGUUUUUACAAACACUUUCUCUGAACAUUUGCAAAGGGGCGUCCAUAGGCUGAGGAAGAAGCUUUUUGGUGAGUAUCUGGAUAAAGGUGCAGAUGCAGGACUUCAGUUGUUAGCGUUGGUCAUCAUCUGUGAACGAGAAAGUAGUCUUAACUAGCUAGCAAGCUCGCAAAGGAACCACAUUGCAAACACUGCAUGGUCACAACAUCGCUAACAUGCUAAGCUAUGUAGUUAAACUUUGCCCUAGAGGGCGUGAGCGAGCACGUGACUGCGUCACAACACGUUACAACUGGCAAGUGCAAAAAAAAAAGCGUGCCAUUCAAAAAAAAAAAAAAAAAAAAAAACACACACACACAUAUAAUAGGAUUAUUGUGUUUGUUUGUCACGGUGGAUGAAAAUAAAUACACUUUUAGCUCAGACACACAUUAUCACCAAAAACACACAUUUGCAUAUUUCUUUAUAUAAAUCUUUUUUAAUUGGUGCAUUAAUAACGUCGGAGUUGAUGACAAAAACGGGGAAAAAAAUGCCAAGCGAGGCUGCGCUAAAGUGAUGCCUGAGUGGGAGGGAAUGCUGGGGGAAAAAAAGGCUAACAGUCAUUCAGAAUGUUGUGGGUGCUGUUUGUCUUACUGUGUGUCAACAACAAUAAUAACACAAAGACGACAAGGCUCCUUCUACAACAUUGUCCUUUUCCUAGCCUGUCUCACACACACGCACGCACUCUGAAGUUGGCAAUAAUAUGGAAGUUGGCAGGAGGAAAGGUCAUUUUAAUGACUGCAGGAGCCAACAAACUUUUACAAUAUAUUUUAUUUUCAAGCUAAUUUAUUUUUGCUUAUAUUAAAAUGUAAAUUCCAUUUUUUUGGAUUGGAGACAAAUAUCUUUGUAUACCUCUCUAAAAUAUCACAACUAUGACUAUUAUGACUAGGUUGCGUUGGUGUAAAACUGCAGCGUUUCGCUGAACUUGAUGAUAAAAAAACCUCAAACAAAGAACGUAUUUAUUAAAAGAAUAACUACAGACCAAAAAAUUCCAUAAUUCAAACUGCAGUCACAUUGAUUAGGUUAUUUAAUCAUUUCAACUAAGAAGCAAUACUUGGGUCUUGAGGCUAACAAAUUAUGAAUUGAACUGAAUACAAAGACAAAAACAUAGUAAAAAUAUAUAGACUAUAUAUAUGCACACCACGUCAAGCUACCACUCUGUUAUGACGGCAGCACAAUAACGUCCCCACAGAGUCUGCCGCUCUUCAAUAACUUUAUUCUGACCUGAACACAUAAACAGCAGUGCAAUUCCAACAGCAUAUACGUACCUCCAACAGACAAACACGGCUCUAGUCCUCCCCGGAACACAACAACGUCUUUAUUACGCGUGUACGUGUGGUCUAAAUAAACAGAAAUGCAGAGAAAAACAGCAAUUGGAUAUCGUUAUCACUCGCUAACGUAACUCUCGGUGCCGAAGUACAAUUUGCUGCAUUUAAGUAUGCUCGGAAAUCCCAGAAAAUAUACAGUAUCUACACUCCAAAUGUGAAGUCAACAUAUAGCAGGUCAAGCUAUUAAGAUGCUAUAUAAAACACCAUAAAAAGGGCAUGUUUCACACAGUUACACAUGAUCAAUCAAGAUUCAUUCGAAAAUUGUGAUGAUUUUGAUUAUAAUUUAUAAUCAUUUGACAGUCCUACUAACCCCUAAAAUUAAAAAUACCUAUAAAUCAAACUCAAUUCGAAAUGAAUACAACAAAAAAAACUACAUUAAAAACGCAAAAAGUAAUGGAUCUUUGUGACCAUUUGUGGAGUUGCUGUGGUUUUUGCCUGGUAGUGAACUUCCUAACUCAACAGUCCCAACUGUGACAACUGAUCCUGUGUGUUUACAAAGUCUCCGUGGAGACAAGUGUCUAAGCUAGUGUCUUUUAUUUUUAGGGUUUCCGACGUGUGUGAUGUUUGUCGGCGUGAUGCGUACAUAAAUAACACAAGUCGGAAUAACCGCGUGUGUGGUGAUUGAGCGCGAGUCUUGCCGACAGUGGUGAUCAGGAAGUGAUGACAGCCUAUGAUUGUCAAAAGGCUCCUCACUGAGUGGCGGGAAGGCCUCAUUUUCCACUUUUACACCCCCCACCCCAUCCUCACUCCUCCUUGCUGCUGUCACGUCUCUUUGUAACGACGCCGAUGGUCGGCUUAACUUGGAGCGAAGGUAAAGACGGCACCCGGCGCUCAAUCACGGCGCUGAGGCCGUUGUGGGUGUCACACGUUAAUACUCCCGUCCUGAAGUGACAGCGUGGAGCUAAAAGUGGGAGCUCAGGAGUGGAGUUUGACACAUGAAGCGAGCUAGGCUGGACAGUUUGGACAGGGACGAUACGAGGGAGGACGCUAAAACCUAAAAAAAAAAAAAAAACUUGUACAGCACAGCAACAGGUAUUUUUUACUGUACUACUGUAGUAAAAAAACAUUCAAUGAGGUUAAUGUGGGCUAAAACCGAAAUGCUCCAGUUGAUGCAGCUUAUAGUCGACGGGUGCGUCUACCAAAACAAAUAAGCACAGGGGUCUCUAAUUAGGUAAAAAAAAAAAAAAAAGCUGUGGCUGUAGAGAACCAGGACUUUAGGGAGCCGUGGACACCUCGCUUGUCCGAUGGCGAUGCCAACCUAAUUUUCCUCUGAAAUGUUUUUCAGGUCAAAUUGGAAAAGGAUUUUUGUUCUUUCAGGAAACGGCAUUCUAGGUGCCCUGAAACGUUAUUUUUAAAAAACUGCUUCCAGAGUGGAAAAAUCCGAAAACGGCGGCUUGUGACGUCCCCGACCCACCGCCACCUCGUCGCCGUCACGUGACCAGAAGUGAGCUUUGACGACAAGUCAGCAUAAUCAACAUUCUCCUGACAUUUUGUCCUCUUAUACUUCAUAAUAACUCGCAGAAGUAAUUCCUCUUCUUGUAAGUCGGAGACAGCAGACUUCUGCACAUGCAUUCUUUCUUCCUCUAUGGUUUGGUGUGUCAUGUGGUUCAGUGUGCAUGUCUGUUCACAGCGCCACAUGUAGGUGUGCCUUGUGUAUUACAUAGUUUUCACUGAAUGAUCCGUUCCCAUCUGGAUGCAACUAUUUACCAAUCCCGCACUGUGUGGACACACAUUUGUUUCAACCAGCCAAAUUAGAAAUCUCCAACUUUUGACUUUUUUGAUGAAAAGCAAUGUGUUAUCCUCAUAACAUUGCAACUUUCUUCUUGAUUCUACCUUAUUCCUCCCUGCAGGCCUGCAUUUCCUGCCUCCUGACAGCGCCGCUAUGCCGGCGUCUUUGCAUAAUGCGGAUGCUCCGAGUGGAGGUCGUAUGAAACUCCUUGGACAUGUUGUCAGGAUCUCGCCGUGUAGGUUUGGACUAAUGAUGGCACGCCGGCCAGCCCGCUGCCCUCAGCAUAUGCCCACUCUCACCUAGUGUGUAUGUGUGGACAGCCGUGGAGUGGGGGGUGGGGGGGGGGGGCAGGGUUCGUCAUGCUGAUUAAAAGCAAACCCCCUCCCUCCUCUCUAACAAAGCCCCUCAGAGGAAGACAGCAGGGAACACGAAGCGGUGUCAGGUCGGCCCGGGUGAGGCCACUGGAUGGGUGUCACCUGAAUUUAGCCGCCUAAUAUGACAGCCAAGUCCUGAUGGCUUGUCUGCGACGUGUCACUUUGGCCGACUUUGGGCCUUAUUCUCAUGCAAAUGCUUUUUGGACGCCACGUGAAUGAGACUCGUCACAGCGGCCGAGGCUCUCAAGUGCGUGACAGUAGUUACUCGCCACAAGAAACACGCGCGACAUUUGACAUUCAAACCAGGAAUGGGGGGGGAAGAAGAAUAAUGAGGAAGUGGCAGGAAGAGACACCGUAAGACAGUCUAACCUAUUUAUUUUUUCACCAGAUGCCAUCAGUGCGUCUCCAAAGGGAGGGUGAUGUCACUGUCUGCAUUGUGGUCAACCUGGACACGUCCAAAGCAUACUUUUCAUGUCCACAUUAAGACUAGUCAUGUCCUUAUUAGACACAUUUUUCCAACAUCGCUGGCAAGCUAGGAUGUGAGAGCGACGUGGACGAGUCAAUUCAGGAGAAAGUUCAAGGUUCAGUUUUAAAACUUUCAAAAUUUGAGAUAAUUGGUUGCAGGGAUUGAAGUUUCACAUGCUGUAAAAAUGCAGACAACACUUUAAGUAACAUUUUCAUACAGUGUUGUCAAGUCUUGUAAACGCAAAAAUAAGUUGUUUUCCUAUUUCCUAGGGGUGUCAUGAGAUGCUCAGUUCACACCAGAGCGGGUGUAAGAGAACGAAACAAGACAAAUUUUUAACAUGACUUUUAAGAAAGUACAAUAAAAAAAAGACUAUUGCAAUCUUCGAAUUUAAUACACUCACUAAAUUAUUAUAGAAUUCAAUUAAAUUAGGAAUUUAUUAAAAUUAAUUUAAUAAAUAAAUCAAAUUACUUAAAUAAAUGAAAUGUCUUGUAUUCUUUAUGUAAUGACAUGAAAUACACAACCUUUUUAAAUUUACCAGACACAUUAAGUGAAUUUGUCAUCACUAUCUGAUUGGUAGAUUUUACUUGGUAUCACACAUCGCUAAAAGAGACUGUAUGACUGACCAUAGGGCUUACUCCAUUCAUGUCGUCGUUCUAUGGAACAAACGUGCCAAGGUGCUCAAACCAAUGCACAGAGUGAACCCUCUUCCUGCCUGUUUGGAGGCUAGACACGAGGAAAACAGACACUUAUGCACAUUGCGGCUGGCAAAAUGAUCAAGUUCAUUUUCAUUUAGUGUGUGAUUGAUUAAUUUAUCGUCCCAGGCGUAGUGCUCACAAGACAUGUUUUUCUGAACGAGAAAUCUCGUCAUGUUUUAAUCUCGCGAGAUCUUGUGACACCCCUACUUUUGUGUACAACCUACUGUACAGGUAAUGUUAUGCAGCAUUUGUGCAUCGUUAAAUGUCAUGCACGUAAGAGGGACGGAGUCACAGUAAAGAGGGAGAGCCACAAACGAGGGAGGAGUCAAAACCUCCACCUUCCAAAUGCUAAAUGAGUGUCUUUAGCAGGAAGUAGUGUAGUAGUCCUUUUAAUUCAAAAGACUUGGAGGGAGGUCACAUGAUAAAAAUGGAUCAAACAUGACAUGUUCCGAUAAAAACAUCUCAAGUUUCAACAGUGAUGCACUGCUAGGCGCCGUCUAAAAGCCAGUGAUGGAUCCAAAAGGACACUCCAUCCAUCGGACACUUUGGCAGUUAUCAUUACUCUACUGAGCCUCCUUUUUGUUUCCCUUCGCCCUGAUGCAUUAUGUCUUGUGUAUCUUCCAAAAACAAGGCUCGUCCCUGACAGCUACACACCUUACCAGAUCUUGGCGCAUCUCAGCGGGGUGCCAACAAGACAAUCGGAUUGAAGCCUCCCCUCCAUGAUGAGACGUCUCGGGUGGUUUUUUAAAUUUUUAUUCUAGCAUUGUGGAACACUUAAAAGGUGACAUAUUGUUUGUCUGUCAGAUGACGAAGUCUGCCACUUCCUCAGACAGCAUGUCGCCACAAUUUAGUAACAAAUUGUAUGAAAACGUUAUUUUCUAUUCGUCACUGCUAAGGAGCCUGCUUCUGACACCAUUUAAGCCCACAAGGAGAAAAAACAAGAAUAAAGCCCUAUUUUUCUAAACUGCAAAAUGCUUGUAAUAUUACAACUUUAUUCUUGUAAAUGUAACUUUUAUUGGUAAACUUACUUGCAGGCUCUUUGGCACUGUAGCCAUAUCAUCUAAUGAUCCCACUUCUGAUACCAAUAGUCAGAACAACUCUGAAGGGUCACACAAUGCAUUUUAUUCUCGGUCAGUGCUAAAAAAAAAAAAAAUUAAUCUAUGCACCUUGCCUCUGACACCACCUGUCCGAACAACCCUGAAGGGCCACACAGAAAGCUACAAUAAAAAAUGAGGGAAAAAGUAAAAUUGACUAGAAUACAUUUGUAAUUUUACAAGAAUAAAAUCAAAGUAGCCACAAGGUGACCUAGUGGUUAGCUGUCAGGAGAUCUGGAAAAUGUGGAUUCAUAUCUCCGUUUGGGCAAAAUGCAAAUCUCUGUGUGGAGUUUGCAUGUUCUUCCCGUGGGUGUGUGAGCUUCCUCCCACAUUCCGAAAAUAUGCAUGUUAGGUUAAUUAGGUUAGACUCAGGUAUGAAUGGUUGUUUGUCUAUGUAUAUGCCCUGCGAUUGGCCGGCGACCUCCUGCUCAAAGUCAGCUGGGAUCCCCGCGGCCCUAGUGAGGACAAGCCACAUAGAAAACGAAUGAACGAAAAUCAGUGUUUUGAGACAAAAAUAAAUGUUAAGUUAUAAAUAUUUGAAGCCAGCAGCUGCUCUCUAUUGCUGGAUAUCCACCUUAUAUUAAAAUCAUUAGAAAUGUAUAAAUUUUCUUCGUAAUAUUACAAGGCUGUUUAUUUCACCUUUGUUUCAUUCAACAUCGUCUUAUUUUAGAGUGACUGAAGCCUGUUAACACUUUUGCCUCC